rnacentral:rRNA from 1 species
AUUGAACGCUGGCGGCAGGCCUAACACAUGCAAGUCGAACGGUAACAGGAAGCAGCUUGCUGCUUUGCUGACGAGUGGCGGACGGGUGAGUAAUGUCUGGGAAACUGCCUGAUGGAGGGGGAUAACUACUGGAAACGGUAGCUAAUACCGCAUAACGUCGCAAGACCAAAGGGGGGGACCUUCGGGCCUCUUGCCAUCGGAUGUGCCCAGAUGGGAUUAGCUAGUAGGUGGGGUAACGGCUCACCUAGGCGACGAUCCCUAGCUGGUCUGAGAGGAUGACCAGCCACACUGGAACUGAGACCGGGUCCAGACUCCUACGGGAGGCACCAGUGGGGAAUAUUGCACAAUGGGCGCAAGCCUGAUGCAGCCAUGCCGCGUGUAUGAAGAAGGCCUUCGGGUUGUAAAGUACUUUCAGCGGUGAGGAAGGGAGUAAAGUUAAUACCUUGGCUCAUUGACGUUACCCGCAGAAGAAGCACCGGCUAACUCCGUG